rnacentral:lncRNA from 1 species
GCAGGAAGGAGAAGAGUUCGUACUAGCCCAGGCUAGACCUUGUCUCAAAAGAGAAAGUGUGGGAAAGAUGUGGAAGAAGGUGUAUAAUCCACAAUGGAAAACUCUUUAAUUAGGGAUUGUUAAAAACACUGAUUUCUUGUCUGUGUAUGUGAACGUAUGCAUGCACUUGUGCCCUGGUAUGCGUGUCACAUUCAUGGGUGCCCUAGUGCCUGUGGAGUUCAGAACGGGGCAUUGUAUCCCCCUGGGUUGGAGUUAAAGAUGGUUGUGGUCCGACACGUAGGUGCUGGGAACUGAACCCAGGUCGUCUGGCAGAACAGUAAGUCUCUUAACUGCUGAGCCAUUCUCUUUAAGGGCAGGGAGGGUCUCACUGUGCGGUUGGUAAGUAGAAAAACCUGAUUACAGAUAUAAUUGGAUCUGUCGUGUAUAUAGGUACAAAGUGAAUUAGCUUCAGCAAACACGGAUGAUGAGGAUGGGGAGGAAGAUGACGACGAUGAUGACGAUGACGACGACGAGGAUGACGAUGAACAAGAAGAAAACUUAGAGGAACAGAACCCGGGGCUCUCUAAGAAGAAGGCGAGAGCUUCCCUGUCCGACCUGUCAAGCCUUGAAGAGGUGGAAGGGAUGAGCGUGCGCCAGCUGAAGGAAAUCCUGGCUCGGAAUUUUGUCAACUAUUCUGGCUGCUGUGAAAAGUGGGAGCUGGUGGAGAAAGUCAACCGGCUGUACAAGGAGAAUGAGGAAAACCAAAAGUCAU